rnacentral:rRNA from 1 species
UCGAGCGAUGCUUUCAGUAGUUGUACUACAGAAAAUGACUGAGCGGCGAACUGGGUGAGUAACGCGUGAGCUAUCUACCUUAGCUGACAAGGAUAGCCCGAGGAAACUCGUGAUUACUACCUGCAUAUUCUUUAUCUGUCUCGACCUGAGAAUGAGAAGGAAAGGUCAGCCGAGCUAGGAUGAGCUCGCGUUCUAUCAGCUAGUUGGUGAGGUGAAAAGCUUACCAAAGGCUACGGACGGACUAGGCUGGAUCAUGGAGAGAGACGACUCAGCCACACAUGUGGACAUGAGACACGGCACCACGACUCCGUACGGCGAGGCGUGCAGGCAGGGUAAUAUUGUGCAAUGAACGAGAGUUUGACACAGCGACACCGCGGUGUGGGAUGACGGAUCUAGGUUAGUAAACCACUUUCAGGGAGGGAAGAAAAUGACGGUACCUCCACAAGAAGCCCCGGCCAACUACGUGCCAGCAGCCGCGGUAAUACGUAGGGGGCGAGCGUUGUCCGGAUUUAUUGGGCGUAAAGAGCUCGUAGGCGGUUCGACAAGUCGGUCGUGAAAGUUCAGGGCUCAACCCUGAAAUGUCGAUCGAUACUGUUGUGACUAGGAUACGGUAGAGGUGAGUGGAAUUCCGAGUGUAGCGGUGAAAUGCGUAGAUAUCCGGAGGAACACCAAGGCGAAGGCAGCUCACUGGACCGCUAUUGACGCUGAGGAGCGAA